GACGAACGCUGGCGGCGUGCUUAACACAUGCAAGUCGAACGGAAAGGCCCUGCUUUUGUGGGGUGCUCGAGUGGCGAACGGGUGAGUAACACGUGAGUAACCUGCCCUUGACUUUGGGAUAACUUCAGGAAACUGGGGCUAAUACCGGAUAGGAGCUCCUGCUGCAUGGUGGGGGUUGGAAAGUUUCGGCGGUUGGGGAUGGACUCGCGGCUUAUCAGCUUGUUGGUGGGGUAGUGGCUUACCAAGGCUUUGACGGGUAGCCGGCCUGAGAGGGUGACCGGCAACAUUGGGACGGAGAUACGGCCAAGACUCCUACGGGAGGCAGCAGGGGGGAAUAUUGCAAAAGGGGCGGAAGCCUGAUGCAGCAACGCCGCGUGCGGGAUGACGGCCUUCGGGUUGUAAACCGCUUCCGCCGGUGACGAAGCGUGAGUGACGGUAAUGGGUAAAGAAGCACCGGCUAACUACGUG
rnacentral:rRNA from 1 species